rnacentral:rRNA from 1 species
AUCUACGAUCAUACUACGUUGAAAGCACCGCAUCCCAUCAGAUUUGCAAAGUUAAACAACGUUAGACAGGAUUAGUACUAUGGUUGGAGACAACAUAGGGAAAUGCGGCGCCGUAGACC